AAGGAAUUUCUCUACCUUUAAGAUCCAUGC
rnacentral:piRNA from 1 species